UAAGGAGGGUGCAAGCGUUGUUCGGAAUCAUUGGGCGUAAAGCGCGUGUAGGCGGCCUACUAAGUCUGAUGUGAAAGCCCGGGGCUCAACCCCGGAAGUGCAUUGGAUACUGGUUGGCUAGAGGGCGAGAGAGGGAAGUGGAAUUCCUGGUGUAGGGGUGAAAUCCGUAGAUAUCAGGAGGAACAUAAGUGGCGAAGGCGGCUUCCUGGCUCGCUUCUGACGCUGAGACGCGAAAGCAUGGGUAGCAAACAGG
rnacentral:rRNA from 1 species